rnacentral:lncRNA from 1 species
AGAUGUGUGCAGAAGGAAAAGAGGAGGAUUUAAGGACCGUGUCCUGAGAGACAAUUGCCUUUUAAGGAUAAGCCGAGAAAGAGAAGCCAGCAAAGAGACUGAUGAAAAGCAUGACCAUAUGUCCUGGUUUGCCAGUGGUUAGUUCUGCUUUAUGCCUGUUGUGUCCACAUGACAGUUUACUCUGUCCCUUUCACUUUCUCAAGGGCCCUGGAUUAGAUGAAACUUACAUGGUCACCCUAUGAUAACAGGCAGCCAGAGCAGCAGAAGAAAACCAGGAGGAGCCAAUAUCAUGACGGACAUUGGAUUUCAUGACAUGAGGUCCCUAGAGACUUCAGCAGCAGAUGUUUGAGUUGCUUAAUGAAAAAAUGAAGGGAGAAAGUGGAUUUUCAGAGUAUGGGGAACAGUGAGAGAAUUUUUCUCUGAAGAUGUCGAGCACUAGGCUAUGUAUAAUUGUGGAGGCCUCAGCAUCUCAAAAAUUAAAACCAAAAUGAAGGUGCAGCAGUUGAUUGAGAGGCGCCGGAAUCAUCCAGCCGUCCUCCUCGUCAAAGUUAUGGGCAAUUUGACCUGCCAUUUAGCUGUUUCCUGGAGCCGGUUGAAUGGUUCUUAGGGCCGUUUCUACCUUGAAGACAACACAGGGUAUGUUAUAACCCAUGCAGAUGAGGGCCCAGGACCGCUGGCUUGAGAAUUAACGAAUGUUAAUUCUGCCUCAGCUGAUGACUGAAGGUUUCACCAAGUUCACAGACCUUAAGUGGAGGCAGGGGUCCCUUCCCCACAAGACUCAUUUAGUUUAAAGGGCAAGGGGUUGAAUAGGCAAGUCAGAGAGAACAAACCAGAAAGAGCAGCAUAUUACAGAGAAAAUUCCAGAAGCCUGAGUAGGUUCCACAGCUCUCUUCUGCGUCCAUAUUGAUAGGAAGAUGUGAGCUGACCCUAUGUGUAGUGUGUUCCUGUAACGUGAUUUAUGAUAAGACGUGCCUUGUUCCUGGUCUUGGCCCAGAGCCAAGUAUUUCCUCGGUGAAGAGUUGUAAAUGAAAAAGAGUCUUUUGUUAUUCAUAACAGGCCCCCCUUCAAUCACACCUGAGUGUAUGUUAUGGGGUAAUUUUUUAAUGGCCCUUGGAUAUCACAGGAUGGAAACUGCUUGCCAGGGAACCAACCAAGUGAUUAGCGGCCUGGAACUUUCAGCC